rnacentral:rRNA from 1 species
AUGGCAACGGGAGGAUCGCAUUUUAACGGACACCGGGCGCCGAGGCUGUUUGGCAGGGAAAGGCCCGUCCAUGCCGCCCUCGGUGGACGCGAAGCGGCGGACAUCAUCCUGUGGAGGAGGCCCAAGGUUUCGGCGUCGAUCCUCGGCGCGGCGACGGCGGCGUGGGCUCUGUUCGAGGUGGCGGAGUACCACUUCCUGACGCUGGCGUGCUACGCCGCCAUGAUCGCCAUGCUCACCUUCUUCAUCUGGACCAACGCCUCCGCUUUCAUGAACCUGCCGGUUCCAAGGAUCCCUGAGACGAUCCUGUCGGAGAGGACGGCGAAGCAGGUGAUCCUGGGCCUGCACCGGAGGCUCACCUGGUUCGUGCACCGGCUGUACGCCAUCGCCUGCGGGGAGGACAUCAAGAAGUUCAUCAUGACGGUGGUGUCCCUGUACAUCGCGUCGGUCGUCGCGACCUGCUUCAGCUCCCUCACCCUGCUCUACCUCGUUGUGCUGUGCACGAUGACGGUGCCGGCGCUGUACGAGCGGUACGAGCACGAGGUGGACCACCUGGUGGCCACGGGGGCGCGCGACGUCCGUACCCACUUCGCCAAGAUGGACUCCGGCGUGCUCAGGAAGAUCCCCAGGGGCAAAGGUGCCACCACCGCCGCACACGGGACGACGGCCAACAACGUGCACGGGUGGCAUCGCUCACACGUCAACUAA